CGCUCUUUGUGUGAUUUAAGAAUAAAGAGUCGGACCUGCCCAGUGACAUACGUGUUAAACGGCCGCGGUACUCUGACCGUGCAAAGGUAGCAUAAUCACUUGCCUUUUAAUUGGAGGCUUGUAUGAAUGGUUUGACGAGAACUAAGCUGUCUCUCUGUAAAUAUUUAGAAAUUAACUUAUAGGUGAAGAGGCCUAUAUAUGUUUAAGGGACAAGAAGACCCUUUUGAGUUUUAGUAAAAUAAGAAGUAAGAUUGUUGUUUUAUUUAAUUAAAAUAAAAUAUUUAAAUUAUGUUUUAGAGCAUAAAUUAAGUUUUUUAUUAAUCUUUAGUUGGGGCGACUGAGGAGCAUAGUAAGCUUCCUUUAAUUUAAGUAAUGACUAACAGGUUAUUUUGAUCCAAUUUUGUUGAUUAAAGGAAAAAAUUACCAUAGGGAUAACAGCGUAAUCUUUUUGGAGAGUUCUUAUCGAAAAAAGGGUUUGCGACCUCGAUGUUGGACUAAGAUAUCCCAGGGGUGUAGAAGUUUCUGAGGGUUGGUCUGUUCGACCAUUAAAAUCUU
rnacentral:rRNA from 1 species